rnacentral:tRNA from 1 species
AUUAAAAUGGCAGAUUAGUGCGUUGGAUUUAAGCUUCAAAUAUAAGAGUUUUUACUCUUUUUUAAUA